rnacentral:rRNA from 1 species
AGUGAACGCUGGCGGUAGGCCUAACACAUGCAAGUCGAACGGCAGCACAAGAGAGCUUGCUCUCUGGGUGGCGAGUGGCGGACGGGUGAGGAAUACAUCGGAAUCUACCUUUUCGUGGGGGAUAACGUAGGGAAACUUACGCUAAUACCGCAUACGACCUUCGGGUGAAAGCAGGGGACCUUCGGGCCUUGCGCGGAUAGAUGAGCCGAUGUCGGAUUAGCUAGUUGGCGGGGUAAAGGCCCACCAAGGCGACGAUCCGUAGCUGGUCUGAGAGGAUGAUCAGCCACACUGGAACUGAGACACGGUCCAGACUCCUACGGGAGGCAGCAGUGGGGAAUAUUGGACAAUGGGCGCAAGCCUGAUCCAGCCAUACCGCGUGGGUGAAGAAGGCCUUCGGGUUGUAAAGCCCUUUUGUUGGGAAAGAAAAGCAGCCAGUUAAUACCUGGUUGUUCUGACGGUACCCAAAGAAUAAGCACCGGCUAACUUCGUGCCAGCAGCCGCGGUAA